UACAGGGGGUGCAAACGUUGCUCGGAAUCAUUGGGCGUAAAGCGCACGUAGGCGGUUCGUUAUGUCGGAUGUGAAAGCCCUUGGCUUAACCGAGGAAGUGCAUCCGAAACUGGCGAGCUAGAGUACGAAAGAGGAUCGCGGAAUUCCCGGUGUAGAGGUGAAAUUCGUAGAUAUCGGGAGGAACACCGGUGGCGAAGGCGGCGAUCUGGGUCGAUACUGACGCUGAGGUGGCGAAA
rnacentral:rRNA from 1 species